rnacentral:lncRNA from 1 species
CUCUUCAUUGAUUGGAAAUUAAAUAUAUAUAUACACAUGUACACGGGUCUGAAUGCCACUAUAACAGGAUAAAUUAAAAGCCAAACAGAUAAUACUGACUACGGUUAAUACAACUAAUGCUAACCAUGUAACAAAUAAUCAUAUAACUGAUAAAUAUAACAGAAUCUAAUAUGCUUCAGCCGGAGAGUAGAUGGAUAUUACUCCCAGUUUGAAGGAGAAAGGAGAAAGAUGAGUGUCUAAUGGUUUAGUCAAAUAUCUACAUUUGUGCAACGACAAGUCUUUUUCCACUAAGUAGGAAAAAUAUUCUAUCAUAUAUCAUAUUUUGGUCCAACUCAUUAAACCAUUUGUGCAAAACUGGGAAUUAGCAACCAAUGAGUUUGGAGUGUAAUUUCUCAUGAAACACAAGGCAAAGGUAAUUUGGUAAUCAAGCAGCAAAAAGGUUAGCAAAUUUAUUUCACAAAUUGAGUAUGCAAGGGCUCUAUAGAAGAAUCAACAAGAAAUACGAAAUAAAAGAAAACCAGACACAAGUAGCCUAAUCAGAAUCAUUGAAUGUCAUAUGGUCCAAAGAGGACACUGGGAAAAAUAAUCUCAAGAGUAUAAGAACUUUUAAUAUAAUGGAGGAGGAUUGCUGGGAAAAAUAAUCCUUGAGCAUGAGAACUCUUCUAUGGAGAACUCUUAUAUGGAGAACCCUUGUGUAGCCUGCAGGUGAAACUCUGUAGAAGCAACCAUUACUUACCAAGUCACUGAAAUGUUUAACUCAAAUGUGGGGGCGUGCUUGUUAAGUAGAGUAGGCGUGCAUCUAGGUGUGACUUGACAUAUAGAAUUUUAGUAAGAUCACUACCUGUAAGUAUGAGAAAAGCUAUAAUUGAAAGAUGAAUUUAUUUAUUUAUUUUAAAUUAAUAUUAACUAUCUUAUAAGCAAAAACAUUUACAAUAAUUUUACUCUAUGUAAAAGGCAAAUUAAAGCAACACAAUGAAAGUAACAUUAACUAUUUAGAAAAAUUGAGCUCGAUUACAUUUCAAUGAGUCAAAUUCAUUUAUAAUUGUCUUUGGGUGCCAUUUAAUUUCCUUUCCCACCAUGGGAAAGUUGAUCAUGUCCAUUAGAUUAAAUGAGGAACAUAUUCCUAUCAUACUUGUCUUUGUAUUAAAUAUACUACUAACAAUUUCUUUAUCAAUGCAAACAACUCGUUCGUUUAUUCUUGCAAAUUGUUUAUGGUAACAAACAUUUGACUUUCUUGCUUCUACUAAUAUUCAACAAAUAAACUUAUUUGAGAUAAUCAAGUAUAUUAUCAAGGUAAGUAAACAUAAAAUAUAGCUACAUAUCUAUUUUUUGAAGAAAC